AUUGAACGCUGGCGGCAGGCCUAACACAUGCAAGUCGAGCGAGCGGCGGACGGGUGAGUCAUGCCUGGGAAUUGCCCAGUCGAGGGGGAUAACAGUUGGAAACGACUGCUAAUACCGCAUACGAUUGGAUUGCCCAGGUGGGCUUGGCUAGUUGGGGAGGUUAUGGCACACCACGGCGACGGUCCCUCACUGGGCGGAGAGGAUGAUCAGCCAAACGGGAACUGAGACACGGGCCAGACUCCUACGGGAGGCGGCAGUGGGGAAUAUUGCACAAUGGGGGAAACCCUGAUGCAGUCAUGCCGCGGGUGUGAAGAAGGCCUUCGGGUUGUAAAGCACGUUCAGCGAGGAGGCGUUACUCGCAGAAGAAGCACCGGCUAACUCCGUGCCAGCAGCCGCGGUAAUAC
rnacentral:rRNA from 1 species